rnacentral:tRNA from 2 species
GGGGCCAUGGGGUAGCUUGGUAUCCUUCCCGCUUUGGGAGCGGGCGACCGCAAUUCAAAUUUGCGUGGCCCCA